UACGAAGGGGGCUAGCGUUGUUCGGAAUUACUGGGCGUAAAGCGCGCGCAGGCGGUUUUUCAAGUCAGUGGUGAAAGCCCGGAGCUCAACUCCGGAAAUGCCAUUGAAACUGUAAAACUUGAGGACGAGAGAGGUGAGUGGAAUUCCCAGUGUAGAGGUGAAAUGCGCAGAUAUCAGGAGGAACACCGGUGGCGAAGGCGGGUCUCUGGGCCGAUACUGACGCUGAGGAGCGAAAGCGUGGGGAGCGAACAGG
rnacentral:rRNA from 1 species